rnacentral:rRNA from 1 species
AUUGAACGCUGGCGGCAGGCUUAACACAUGCAAGUCGAGCGCCCCGCAAGGGGAGCGGCAGACGGGUGAGUAACGCGUGGGAACGUACCCUUUGCUACGGAAUAGCUCCGGGAAACUGGAAUUAAUACCGUAUGUGCCCUACGGGGGAAAGAUUUAUCGGCAAAGGAUCGGCCCGCGUUGGAUUAGCUAGUUGGUGGGGUAAUGGCCUACCAAGGCGACGAUCCAUAGCUGGUCUGAGAGGAUGAUCAGCCACAUUGGGACUGAGACACGGCCCAAACUUCUACGCGAGGCAGCAGUGGGGAAUAUUGGACAAUGGGCGCAAGCCUGAUCCAGCCAUGCCGCGUGAGUGAUGAAGGCCUUAGGGUUGUAGAGCUCUUUCACCGGAGAAGAUAAUGACGGUAUCCGGAGAAGAAGCCCCGGCUAACUUCGUGCCAGCCGCCGCCGUAAUAC